rnacentral:lncRNA from 1 species
AAGGCAGAGCUAACAGAGGGCUUUUCACCGUGGAGUCCAGAAGGGCAUCAGUACACGGAAGCUUGAAAAACAGAACCGGGAGAAAGAUGGAGAUGUGUGAUGGUUCAUCGAACUAAUCUUUCCAAGAUCCUGCUUCCGCAAUCUCAUCUACCUAUUAUAAAACUCUCAUGGUUCUCCACCACAUCCAAAGUAGAGUCCAAAUGUGCCACUCUGGAUUCCAAAACCUGUACGGACUGGUGCCAAUUCAUCUUCCUAAAAUUUUGUUGCCAGUAUUCCUCAGGACAUACUCUUUGUUCUAAUUACGCUGCUUAAUUACCAUCCCCCAGAAACAUCCAUUUGCAUUUUGGUAUCUGUAUCUUUUGCUCCUAUUGCUCCCUACCGUUUAGAAGAUCUACCUCCUUCUCAAAUAUCUUUAGCUUUUAAGAUUCCACUUAACUACAUAUUCAUUGCUCUGUGGGAAAUAGAAUUCACUUAUCUUAGCAGAGCAUGAGACUAAAUGGCCAGAGAGCAAAAAAAACCCAAAGUAGUAUGCAGUUUUUAGCAUUCUCAUGGUGCUUGGAUGAUAAAAAUUGGAGUUCAGAACCCAUCAUAAAUGAGGAACCCUAGGAAACUAUUCAUGUUACUAUGUGGAUAUAUGUUUGGAGUAGGGACAAUCCAGAAAUAGACUGACCUUUCAACACACAGGUUGGCCUUAAUUUAGCUCAAUACCAGAUCAGAUUAAAAAUAAUCUGUACUCUUACUACAGCUAGAAGCUAGAGUAAGUCACUUAUCCAGAACCUCUAUAAACUUUCAUAUAUAAACAAGAUUCAAUCAAUAAUUACCAGGCAUAGCAAAAAACAACCAUGAGACGACAUAUACAGUCAAAACAGACCUACAAGUGAUUUAGCUAUUAGAAUUAUCAGAUAUAGUCUUUAACUAUAAAGAAUUAAAAUAGAUGGAAAGAUCUUGAUUUCACCCAACAUAGUUUAUAAAAAAUAAAUUCUAAAUGCUAGAAGAGAAUUAAUAACUG